rnacentral:rRNA from 1 species
CAGGACGAACGCUGGCGGCGUGCCUAAUACAUGCAAGUCGAACGGUCUUUUCUAUGGAAGCUUGCUUCCACUGAGAAGAUAGUGGCGAACGGGUGAGUAACACGUGGGUAACCUGCCCAUAAGAGGGGGAUAACAUCCGGAAACGGGUGCUAAUACCGCAUAGUUUUCUUGGUCGCAUGAUCGGGAAAGGAAAGACGGCCUUUGUGCUGUCGCUUAUGGAUGGACCCGCGGCGUAUUAGUUAGUUGGUGAGGUAACGGCUCACCAAGACGAUGAUACGUAGCCGACCUGAGAGGGUGAUCGGCCACAUUGGGACUGAGACACGGCCCAAACUCCUACGGGAGGCAGCAGUAGGGAAUCUUCCGCAAUGGACGAAAGUCUGACGGAGCAACGCCGCGUGAGUGAAGAAGGUUUUCGGAAUCGUAAAACUCUGUUGUCAGAGAAGAACAGGUUGGAGAGUAACUGCUCCAGCCUUGACGGUAUCUGACCAGAAAGCCACGGCUAACUACGUGCCAGCAGCAGC